GUGGGUAAAGUCAGGCGUUGGUCGGGCCGGUCCGAGGAUAAGUUGGCGUACGGGGGUCAGUCGGCAUAUCCCAACAAGGACAACGCAAUGGCUUCUUCCCUGUCUUGUGGUCCAUGACCACCACCACACGGGUCGAUCACAGGAAGAUCAUAAUAGUGGAGAUCUUAGAAGAUCCAAACUCCUUUUUUGGCAUCCAGCAUUACUCAACUGUAACUGAGAUGGAGCCCGUCCGUUGUAAAAGUUUGUCUG
rnacentral:lncRNA from 1 species